GGUCACUCCUUACCAAUGGGAAGGCCGACGGUCAACGCCGCAGCCACGAGGCAUCCCGACGACGCGCCGCCGAUUCUGGAAGCACCGUGGAUGAGCGCCAUGAAGAAGAAGCAGCAGCAAGAUAACGGCUGAUCUUCACUGCAGGCUUUGGUCAACAUCUGCUGUUCUCUUUGAGGCCGCCGUGUGGUGUUGCGCAACCUACAAGGUCUACCUGGCACUCUGCCAUUUUGGAGAAGCCAUACCCUGGGACAGUCAGAUGACUGUCACAUG